AUAUCCUGGGGUGGAGUCCUGGCUUCUCAGUCUGUAUGGAUACAGCGCGGGAGAGACAGCCACGCUGGAGCCCAGAGUUUCCUCCGCUUUUUCCGCCUCGCACCCAUUAGUGCCCAGACACGUCUGGUGUGGCGUGUCACACGGAGAGCGUGAUUGCAGGAAAUGUUUGAUGUCGUUUGCGUGAGCUCACCGAUUUUUCAGCCAAAUUGACCUGUUUCCUGGAAUCAGAGAUUCCCAUCACCUGUGUCGGUUUUCCUUCCCCCUUCUCUCACUUUAUUCAUAUCUUCGUUUUUGAUCCAAUCCUGAAGAAGGUAUUUUCGGCCGAGAAGAGAAUCAAGCAAGGUUCUACGCUACCAUGGACCUGCCAAGCACUGUGAUAGAUGAAACAUAAAAUGCAGAGAUAUGAAUAAGAUAAGAUGAAACAGAA